rnacentral:lncRNA from 1 species
UGGCCGUCAUUCCCACAUGUUACAGUAGAAGAUACUCUAGAACUGUACAAGGUUAAAAAGGUAACAUGUAGUUUGUCCCAAGGUGUUUGCCUCCUCACCCAGAGCAAGACCUCCACCUCCUCACCCAGAGCCAGACCUCCACCUCCUCACCCAGAGUCAGACCUCCACCUCCUCACCAGAGCCAGACCUCCACCUCCUCACCCAGAGCCAGACCUCCACCUCCUCACCCAGAGCCAGACCUCCACCUCCUCACCCAGAGCCAGACCUCCACCUCCUAUCAGAAGUCUUCCAGAACAGCUUAAAGGCGAGUCCGAGAGGCUGGGGACCGGAGGCUUGUGGUGCCAGGGUGGACCGGAGACUAAGGCUGGAGACCAGGGGCCUGCAGCACCGGACCAGAGGACCAGGAAUCCAUGGCUGAAGGAGCUGAUGGAGGAGCUGUGCAGAAGGCCCUGCCUUGUGGAGGAGCUGGUGGAGGCCCUGCCUGGUGAAGGACGUCUGUCGUGGGACCAGGACUCUGUCUGAGGAGAGCUGCUGGAGGAGCUGAGACGCUGGAGGACGACUUUGAAUCGACCAACAAGGAUUCCUCGUAAGUUUGUAUUUACUUGCAUAGUUGACUUAAAGGGCAAAAUACAGCUGUUACUUUGACAUGCGUUAACCAACUACCGCUGUGUUUUCUUACUAGAACGUGUUUCUGGCUGAGGAGAGCUGAUUGAGGAGCCAAGACUCUGGAGGACGACAUCACUCCACCAACCAGGAUCCUCGUAAGUUUGCCUAAAAUAAACAGAGUGGACUUGUUGUAACGCAGGAUUAGUUUGUCCAGUACAAGUUACGGCAUACUAUUGUGGUUGUUUACAAGACUAACUACAGCUGCUACUUUGUUACCUUACAUUAGAGCCCAACUACUCCUGUGUUUGUGACCUUAUAUUAGAGACAAACUACUCCUGUGUUUGUGACCUUACAUUAGAGACAAAUUACGUUUGCAACCAGACCAGGAAUCUGGAGGACUGAUGGAGAAGCCAUACAUCUGGAAGGCAAAUCCUGAGGACCACCAGGACUCUACCAUCAAGGAUUCCUCAUAAAUGUGCAUUAUCUGGACAUAGUGGACUAGGUAGGGGGUUGGGGGUUCAACUCUCAAACCAAUGGUGCCGGGUUCAAGUCCUCAGAAUACAGUGAUGCGUCCUUGAGCAAGGCGCCCUAAAGCCUGCCUGCUCCUUAAUGACUUAUCUUUGGUUCAGAUAAUGUUGCAUCUUUUGAAUAUUGAACCUAAACAAUGUCCUUGUUUGGUCCGGGCAGACACACCUGAACCUCACCUGAUCCUGUUUGGUCGGGGGUAGACACACCUGAGCUAAACCCGCCCUGAUCCUGACAUCCUGCUGGUCCCGUCUCCUCAGUUCAUCUGAGCCUCGUCCUCCAGAAGACCUGCUGAGCUCAGCAGUCUGAGGCUGAUGGAUCAAUGACCUCCAGUGGGAGUGAUCUUCUUGACCCCACAUGUAACCGUGUGCUUCCACACGCCUUUUCCUCACGUCUGUCACUAACCUCACUACUUCACUACUCUCUACUGCUUCCUCUUUUCUUCCUUCUCUGUGGUUCAAACCUUUACACUGAAGACGCGUCUUCCUGCCCUCAGAGGGUUUAGCGUUAGGGUUGAGAGUCAGGGUUUAGAGGCAGGGACGGAGCUGGUCAGGGAGGACUGCUUUUACACAAACCUCUUCACUUGCUUUCGGAAUGGUGGUGACAUUUUGAAAAGAUUCAUUUGGGAAAAUGUUUUCCUCUGCUUUCCUUUACAAAAUUGUAUUAAACUUCUGUCAAGUGUUUUUGUUCAUAUAUUAAAAUCCCACAUUGACUUCUACAUGUUUGAUGCGGUCAUUUAAUUGUCCUUAAUGUCAAGCUAAACUCCUGCAAUACAUUGAAUAUACAUGAUUGUUAUUCAGCAAUGUUCACAUAAUCCAUUUCGUAAAAAUAUGAAACCUCCAUAUUGC